CAAUAGCAUAUAUUAACGUUGUUGCAGUUAAAAAGCUCGUAGUUGGAUUUCUGGAGGGAGCGUCGGCCCGUAUUUACGAGUGCGUGACGUCUCUGUCCAUCCUUGCGGGAAGGCACGGCAUUGAUUUGUUGUGUCGGAUCGCAUCAUUUACUGUGAAAAAAUUAGAGUGUUCAAAGCAGGCUUUCGCUUGAAUACAUUAGCAUGGAAUAAUAAGAUAGGACUUUGGUGCUAUUUUGUUGGUUGAGCCUAAAGUAAUGAUUAAUAGGGAUAGUUGGGGGCACCUGUAUUGCGUUGUCAGAGGUGAAAUUCUUGGAUUUACGCAAGACAAACAGCUGCGAAAGCGUCUGCCAAGGAUGUUUUCAUUAA
rnacentral:rRNA from 1 species